GGGGCUUAAAGUCUUGUAAUUGGAAUGAUGGGAAUUUAAACCUCUUCCAGAGUAUCAAUUGGAGGGCAAGUCUGGUGCCAGCAGCCGCGGUAAUUCCAGCUCCAAUAGCGUAUAUUAAAAUUGUUGCAGUUAAAAAGCUCGUAGUUGAAUUUCUGCUGCAUUGUCGAGUCCCUUCGGGGUCUUGGCACGUGGCUUUUUUCGGACGGUUCA
rnacentral:rRNA from 1 species